UCCCAGUUUGUGUGUGCUCACCCAAGG
rnacentral:piRNA from 1 species